AACGUCCGUCGUGAAGAGGGAAACAACCCAGACCGCCAGCUAAGGUCCCAAAGUCAUGGUUAAGUGGGAAACGAUGUGGGAAGGCCCAGACAGCCAGGAUGUUGGCUUAGAAGCAGCCAUCAUUUAAAGAAAGCGUAAUAGCUCACUGGUCGAGUCGGCCUGCGCGGAAGAUGUAACGGGGCUAAACCAUGCACCGAAGCUGCGGCAGCGACGCUGAUGCGUUGUUGGGUAGGGGAGCGUUCUGUAAGCCUGCGAAGGUGUGCUGUGAGGCAUGCUGGAGGUAUCAGAAGUGCGAAUGCUGACAUAAGUAACGAUAAAGCGGGUGAAAAGCCCGCUCGCCGGAAGACCAAGGGUUCCUGUCCAACGUUAAUCGGGGCAGGGUGAGUCGACCCCUAAGGCGAGGCCGAAAGGCGUAGUCGAUGGGAAACAGGUUAAUAUUCCUGUACUUGGUGUUACUGCGAAGGGGGGACGGAGAAGGCUAUGUUGGCCGGGCGACGGUUGUCCCGGUUUAAGCGUGUAGGCUGGU
rnacentral:rRNA from 1 species